rnacentral:rRNA from 1 species
UGGGGAAUAUUGGACAAUGGGCGCGAGCCUGAUCCAGCCAUACCGCGUGGGUGAAGAAGGCCUUCGGGUUGUAAAGCCCUUUUGUUGGGAAAGAAAUCCUGUCGAUUAAUACUCGGUGGGGAUGACGGUACCCAAAGAAUAAGCACCGGCUAACUUCGUGCCAGCAGCCGCGGUAAUACGAAGGGUGCAAGCGUUACUCGGAAUUACUGGGCGUAAAGCGUGCGUAGGUGGUGGUUUAAGUCUGCUGUGAAAGCCCUGGGCUCAACCGGGGAAUUGCAGUGGAUACUGGAUCGAUAGAGUGUGGGAGAGGGAUGAGGAAUGUCUGGUGUGGCAGAGAAAUGAGUAGAGAUAAGAGGAACAUCCGUGGCGAAGGCGGCAUCCUGGGCCAACACUGACACGGAGGCACGAAAGCGUGGGGAGCAAACA